AGCGAACGCUGGCGGCAGGCCUGACACAUGCAAGUCGAGCGGCCCUUCGGGGCAGCGGCGGACGGGUGAGUAACGCGUGGGAACGUGCCCUUUGGUACGGAACAACUGAGGGAAACUUCAGCUAAUACCGUAUGUGCCCUACAGGGGAAAGAUUUAUCGCCAUUGGAGCGGCCCGCGUUAGAUUAGCUAGUUGGUAGGGUAAUGGCCUACCAAGGCGACGAUCUAUAGCUGGUCUGAGAGGAUGAUCAGCCACACUGGGACUGAGACACGGCCCAGACUCCUACGGGAGGCAGCAGUGGGGAAUCUUGCGCAAUGGGCGAAAGCCUGACGCAGCCAUGCCGCGUGAAUGAUGAAGGUCUUAGGAUUGUAAAAUUCUUUCACCGGGGACGAUAAUGACGGUACCCGGAGAAGAAGCCCCGGCUAACUUCGUGCCAGCAGCCGCAGUAACAC
rnacentral:rRNA from 1 species